rnacentral:rRNA from 1 species
GACGAACGCUGGCGGCGUGCUUAACACAUGCAAGUCGAACGGUAAGGCCCUUCGGGGUACACGAGUGGCGAACGGGUGAGUAACACGUGGGUGAUCUGCCCUGCACUUCGGGAUAAGCCUGGGAAACUGGGUCUAAUACCGGAUAGGACCCUGGGAUGCAUGUCCUGGGGUGGAAAGCUUUUGCGGUGUGGGAUGGGCCCGCGGCCUAUCAGCUUGUUGGUGGGGUGAUGGCCUACCAAGGCGACGACGGGUAGCCGGCCUGAGAGGGUGACCGGCCCCACUGGGACUGAGAUACGGCCCAGACUCCUGCGGGAGGCAGCAGUGGGGAAUAUUGCACAAUGGGCGCAAGCCUGAUGCAGCGACGCCGCGUGAGGGAUGACGGCCUUCGGGUUGUAAACCUCUUUCAGCACCGACGAAGCGCAAGUGACGGUAGGUGCAGAAGAAGGACCGGCCAACUACGUGCCAGCAGCCGCCGUAA